AUAAGCCACCGAAAGGUGGUCUAAUACCGUUAUAGUAUCCAUCUCGUAUGGAUUAAAGCUUUAUGCGCUUUGGGAGGGGCCUGCGUUUGAUUAGCUAGUUGGUGAGGUAAAAGCUCACCAAGGCGACGAUCAAUAGCUGGUUUGAGAGGAUGACCAGCCACACUGGGACUGAGAUACGGCCCAGACUCCUACGGGAGGCAGCAGUAAGGAAUCUUCCACAAUGGGGCAACCCUGAUGGAGCAAUACCGCGUGCAGGAUGAAGCGUUUCGGCGUGUAAACUGCUUUUAUCACCGAAGAUUAUGACUGUAGGUGAAGAAUAAGGACCGGCUAACUACGUG
rnacentral:rRNA from 1 species